rnacentral:rRNA from 1 species
AGAUAAAGAACCAAUAUUUUUGGUGACUCAUAAUAACUUUACGGAUCACAUUAUGUGACAUAUCAUUCAAGUUUCUGACCUAUCAGCUUUAGACGGUAGGGUAUUGGCCUACCGUGGCUAUGACGGGUAACGGGGAAUUAGGGUUCGAUUCCGGAGAGGGAGCCUGAGAAACGGCUACCACAUCUAAGGAAGGCAGCAGGCGCGCAAAUUACCCAAUCCUAAUACAGGGAGGUAGUGACAAGAAAUAACAAUACAGGACCUUACGGUUUUGUAAUUGGAAUGAGUUAAGUAUAAACCCCUUAACAAGUAUCAAUUGGAGGGCAAGUCUGGUGCCAGCAGCCGCGGUAAUUCCAGCUCCAAUAGCGUAUAUUAAAGUUGUUGCAGUUAAAAAGCUCGUAGUUAAUUUUCUGUUAAUUUUUAUAUACAAUACUACGGUAUUUAUAUAAUAUUAACAUAAUUCAUAUUACUUUUUAGUAUAUGAAACUUUACUUUGAGAAAAUUAGAGUGCUUAAAGCAGGCUAUUGCCUUGAAUACUCCAGCAUGGAAUAAUAUUAAGGAUUUUUAUUCUUCUUAUUGGUUCUAGAAUAAAAAUAAUGAUUAAUAGGGACAGUUGGGGGCAUUUGUAUUUAACAGUCAGAGGUGAAAUUCUUAGAUUUGUUAAAGACAAACUACUGCGAAAGCAUUUGCCAAGGAUGUUUUCAUUAAUCAAGAACGAAAGUUAGGGGAUCGAAGACGAUCAGAUACCGUCGUAGUCUAACCAUAAACUAUGCCAACUAGAGAUG